ensembl:lincRNA
UGACAACCAUGCUUCUGCGCCUGCUCAUUACACAGGCCAGCCACUAGACUGGGUGGGGUUGGGGCCAGAAAUGAGAAAUCAGACAACCUGACAUGGUUGACAUGUCACCUUGGUAUAGUGCCCCCAGCGUGUGGAUGCAAGACCAAUACAUGCCCAUGGGCAGCUAACUAGUGGCUAGGGGACCUACAGUUGUGCUCUAGGGCAGAGAUUCUGUCAGCACCCGAGAGAAAAAGCAAGUAUCCACUGGCAAGCACUGGGGUCCUGUGUAGGAAGCACUACAGGAGACUUGCAAGCAGAAUAUGACUAUCCACAGAUCUCAGUUCUGCUGUUUGCUAAAGAAUAAUAACUGAACUUUAAGAAAACUGCUCAACAUAUUAAGCUGGACACAUAGCUCUCAAUCCUACAAGAAAUCAUCAUCAUCUCAGGCGUCUGCCAGAAACUACAGAGGCCAAAGAAAGUGAGCACUGCUGUGCCCACACCUGGGCCAUGCCAUGUUUUUUUUACACACCUGGUAGACUCCACAAGAGUGUUUUACAGAGGCUUUGGGUUUGGAUUGACUUUUCAGGCACCUCUGUCCAGGCAGGUGCUCAGGACUGUAACCCAAUCCUGGCUCACUGCAGGCUCCAGGACAGGAUGGGAACCAACAGCUCACAGAAGCACAGAAGAGAAAGCAGUUAUCAUCAAAUACUGCAGAACAUCCAGUUGACAACUGACAGCAGUUUUCUCUUCGACUAUAAACAAGAAAAAGAAUGAUGACAACAUGUGAGAAAGUGUGCCACCAGGAACUUUCAAUAAAGGAGCAGGAAGCCACCAGCAAACCAGCUCAAAACUUCAAAUUCAGCUGGGGAAAGUAAGAGCAGGAAUAUUAAUAGGCAUCCAGAUGUGUGAGGUUCACAGAGAGACACA